rnacentral:rRNA from 1 species
AUACGAAUGGUGCAAGCGUUGUUCGGAAUCACUGGGCAUAAAGAGCAUGUAGGCGGCCACGUCAGUCAGGUGUGAAAUCCCUCGGCUCAACCGAGGAACUGCAUCUGAUACUGCGUAGCUAGAGUGCGGGAGGGGAGAACGGAAUUCCUGGUGGAGCGGUGAAAUGCGUAGAUAUCAGGAGGAACGCCGGAGGCGAAAGCGGUUCUCUGGCCCGCUACUGACGCUGAGUGUGCGAAAGCUAGGGGAGCAAACAGGAUUAGAAACCCCUGUAGUCC